AGGCUCUUCUUUCUGCCCCUGUGGCCAUGGCCCCAAGCGACCCUCUCGCUCAGCCCAGACCCCUGGAUGCCCAGCUGUCCCACCCCCGUGGCCCCCCGCUGUGGCUACGUGUUGUCUGAAGACGCCUGGGGAAACCCUGUGUUCAGGGCCGCUGUACUGGCCUGUCAUGUGGUCAACCAGUGUGAACAUCAAAGUGUCUGGGUUCAUGGAACCUGGCGAAGAAACCACCUAUAGCUAUACCGUGUCCUGUCCAUAUUUCACACAGGCCUCGAGGGAGAUUCUCUGAAGAGAACUACAUGGAGAUCUCAAACUUGAUUGCAUGGUCAACCCUGCUUCUGUCUGCCAGGCUCAGGAACCACUUACAAGCUGUAGCAGUUGGUGUUCCAGCAUCCCACAGGGAGGAAGGUUAUGCUGGUGAUCCACGUGGCCGAUCUGGGCUAUGGCUUCAACAGCUCUGGGGUCUGCAUGUUCCUGCAUUAGCCCUACUCCAGCAACGAGGCUGAAGUCACC